CUGGCUGACACGCCGAUGGCUUACCGUAAGCUUUGUUCAAAAAAGGUAGUUUCGACUGGGAUGCACGAUAAUCCAUAUUUAUUUUGCAAACAGCGAAUACAUAAUCUUUCUUCAAUUCAUACAGGAUAACUCACAGCCGCCACCGCGUCGGUCAAAAACCGUUUGGCCCUUCCGGUAUCAACAAACCAACAACAGGUGAAAUCAAUCAAUGUUCCCUAAAUACCUGUGGUCGUGCCACAGGACAGCGACACCCACUGACGCAAUUGAGUACUUCACCAGGU